rnacentral:rRNA from 1 species
UACGUAGGGGGCCAGCGUUGCUCGGAAUUACUGGGCGUAAAGGGUUCGUAGGCGGUGCGGCAAGUUGGGAGUGAAAUCUCUGGGCUUACUCAGGGGCUGCUUUCAAAACUGCCGCGCUCGAGUGCGAGAGAGGUCAGUGGAAUUGCAGGUGUAGCGGUGAAAUGCGUAGAUAUCUGGAGGAACACCGGUGGCGAAGGCGGCAUCCUGGACCGAUACUGACGCUGAGGAGCGAAAGCCAGGGGAGCAAACGGG